rnacentral:rRNA from 1 species
UACGUAGGGUGCAAGCGUUAAUCGGAAUUACUGGGCGUAAAGCGUGCGCAGGCGGUUAUGUAAGACAGUUGUGAAAUCCCCGGGCUCAACCUGGGAACUGCAUCUGUGACUGCAUAGCUAGAGUACGGUAGAGGGGGAUGGAAUUCCGCGUGUAGUAGUGAAAUGCGUAGAUAUGCGGAGGAACACCGAUGGCGAAGGCAACCCCCUGGACCUGUACUGACGCUCAUGCACGAAAGCGUGGGGAGCAAACAGG